AACUUUUAGCAACGGAUCACUUGGCUCUCGCAUCGAUUAAGAACUUAGCGAAAUGCGAUAAGUAAUGUGAAUUGCAGAAUUCAGUGAAUCAUCGAAUCUUUGAACGCACCUUGCGCCCUUUGGCCAUUCCGAAGGGCAUGCCUGUUUGAGGAUCAUGAACACCUCAACUGUUCAUGGUUUUUCUUUGAUGAGCUUGGACUUUGGUGGUUUUGCUGGCCUAUGGUCGGCUCCUCUAAAAUGAAUCAGCUUGCCAGUGGUUGGUGGGCAUCACAGGUGUGAUAACUAUCUACGCUUGUGGUUUUCCACCAGGUAACCUUCAGCAAUGGAGGUUCACUGGAGCUCACAGAUGUCUCUCCUCGGUGAGGAUGACCCUUUGAAUGUUUGAUCUCAAAUCAGGUAGGACUACCCGCUGAACUUAAGCAUAUCAAUAAGCGGAGGCU
rnacentral:misc_RNA from 1 species